GUCAUAUUUAAAAAAAUGUAGCCUUAGUAGUUGUAUGAUUUCAUGAACACAAUUAGAACACAAUAUAAUAGAUCUUACAUUUAGGCGAUUUUGCAAGACUAGCUUAAUUCACGAAUUUAUUCAAAUAUCAACUUUUACAGUAAUUCAUGAAUACAUGUCAAUAUAAUAAAACAAGUUCACUUUGCCUUCAGAGUUUCUCUUUUUAAAUCAUAUAAAAUUCGUAUUACCUACUUUUUCACAAAAUUGUUUACGGCAAAUCCUGACGCGCCGACGCGGCUAUGACGCCCAAAUUCAAAGCAAACCGGCGCUUCUCAGCCGCUUCUAUUGAUCCCAGACGAGGUGUUUUGCCCACAAUAACUUCCAAUCUGGCCUGUAUUUACAAAGAGAAUAAAUUCUUCUGCAUUGGGUUUAACAACAGCCUACAUUUCAUUGCCGUUUUGUCCCGAUAUUUCUGUAUAUAAAAUCAAGAUAGAUUAGCAUCAGCGCAUACGUGUUUGACCUACACACUCAGCCAUAAAAUUAGUAUCUCGCCCAAUCUGCCUGUCAGUUGGAUAACCGAAGGUUAAGGAUAUAGUUCUAUUUAAAUUUCAAUCGAAAUAUCGAAGAAAUUUCCAGAAACAUCUAAUUUAUACUCGAUUUUAUCAUGAUUUUAUCAAGAAACUAUAGCAAAUCAUAUGUAUUUUGUUUUGAUCAGUUCCCGGUUUGACGUCACAUCCGGCGUUUAUAGGCAUCUCGCCCUAGUCCUUUUACACUCACGGUUAAGCAAAAAAUCGCCAACUUUGAGCCCCUGAAAGUUCAUGAAGAUCAAAUUUUCGAAUUAUAAAAUAUAUUGCAAAAGUUCUUAAAAUCAUCUAAACUAUCUAAAUAGGCUAAUUCCCAAACUAUGACAUAGGCAC